CCCUUAGAUGUUCUGGGCCGCACGCGCGCUACAAUGAUGAAUUCAACGAGUUUAUAACCUUGGUUGAAAAGCCUGGGUAAUCUUUUGAACUUUCGUCGUGAUGGGGCUAGACCCUUGCAAUUAUUGGUCUCCAACGAGGAAUCCCUAGUAAACGCAAGUCAUCAGCUUGCAUUGAUUACGUCCCUGCCCUUUGUACACACCGCCCGUCGCACCUACCGAUUGAAUGGUCCGGUGAAAUCUUCGGAUUGAGACUUUGAUUUCUUCACGGAAAACGCUGUUUUAAGAAGUUGAUUAAACCUUACCAUUUAGAGGAAGGUGAAGUCGUAACA
rnacentral:rRNA from 1 species